rnacentral:rRNA from 1 species
CAGUCGCCGCGGUAAUACGUAGGUGGCAAGCGUUAUCCGGAAUUAUUGGGCGUAAAGCGCGCGCAGGCGGUUUCUUAAGUCUGAUGUGAAAGCCCACGGCUCAACCGUGGAGGGUCAUUGGAAACUGGGGAACUUGAGUGCAGAAGAGAAAAGCGGAAUUCCACGUGUAGCGGUGAAAUGCGUAGAGAUGCGGAGGAACACCAGUGGCGAAGGCGGCUUUUUGGUCUGUAACUGACGCUGAGGCGCGAAAGCGUGGGGAGCAAACAGGAUUAGAUACCCCAGUAGUCCCUGUCUCUUAUAA